rnacentral:rRNA from 1 species
GAGAGUUAAACAGUACGUGAAAUUGUUGAAAGGGAAACGAUUGAAGCCAGUCGUACCUUCGGGUAAUCAGCCUUUCGGGUGCGAUUCUGUGGAGUGUGAGGAGCUUAAACACCUUCAUGUUUUGCAUAUUCGUACUCUUGGGUGUACUUGCCCGUGUGGUUGGUUAACAUCAAUUUUGGUGGUCAUAAAAUGACUGGAGGAAUGUAGCUUCGAUCUUGUAUUGAAGUGUUAUAGCCUUCGGUAGAUGUGAUGAUCGAGAUUGAGGAUUGCAACGGAUACCCUUCGGGGCUACCUGUCUGGUCUCUGAUCGUUGCUCUGGUGCCGAAAGCUUGCUUACGGUUAUCAAAGUCGAUGGUCAAUAGGUUAGAACGGGUUAAAUUCGUUAAGGAUGUUGACGUAAUGGCUUUAAACGA